rnacentral:lncRNA from 1 species
UGGCGGGUCCUGAGUGGGUGGCACGUGGGCCGCUGGUGAGGUUACCUGCACGUUCUCUUCUGUCACCUCGAUCUCUGCGGUGUAGAUGUAGUCGAUGAGCUUGCUGAGAGUCUGUCCGUCCACGUCCUUGAUUUCGAUCUUCUUGGCCUUGCUCUCAGACAUGUCACCUGUGGUUCCACAACAGAACAGAGAAGGACAGGAAUUUGGCACCUGUGGCAAAUUUGCCUCCUGCGUUGUCUAGGAAACCUGCGGCUCUUGCCUGUGCCCCCAGAAACCACUGGAGAGAGUCAGGCACAAGGACAUCAAGGUCAUAACGACCUUGGAUCACUCAUACACCAACGGGAAAUGUGUGAUGGUUGUAAAAAUUAGCCUUAUUUUGCAUAGAGGGAAGAAAAAAACAAAUCAAACAAGCAAACAAAAAAGCAAGGCUCAGGAAGGGAACUCAUUCAUUUUGUGGUCAGACAUCUAACUGCCACAGUGGGCUGAAAGGGAGUCUGACUUCAGAACCCAUAGCUUUAAACACCAUGAAACACAGUCCAGGGUAGAAGCACAGAGAAGGGACACAGACCACAACCUGGAAGCUAUAGGAGGCCUCCCAGGAGAGCGUAUACUUCUCUGGGAGUGGCAGAAUGACGAGAAGAACUUCAAGAGACAGCAAAGCAGGGAAGGAGGGGCCGGGUGUGGCCCAAGUGUAAAGGAGAAAGAAGCCAAGAGGAUACUGUAUCUGAGAGACAGUGAGUGAGAGGCUGGCGUGGCUGGGCACAGGGCACGGAAGGAAGCUGGAGAGGUACAAUCACACAAGUGAGUUUCAUGACAAGGGUGACAGCACUGAGGUCCUACCCAGAAGGAGGAUAAGAACAGGCUAUCAGCUGUCCUCUGGGUUUUGUGGAUGUCUCUGAUGGUCUACAGAAGGGGGUUUCUGGAUGAAAUCCUGGAUGCAGAGGUGGAAGGGAGCUGAGCUGGAGGCAGGAAGAACUUCUGAACGUCCCUGGUACAAGAGUCCACAUCCUAGAUUCUACAAGCACACUGAAUGUAUGAAUGAGAUCCUUUUAGAAGAAAGACUGCCAAACAGGAACAGGCUGGGUAAGAAGCAAAGGAGCCAAUGAGAGAUGGCACCUGCUACCACUGUGACUGCCACUACCAUCAUCACCCUCACCAUCACUGCCAUCAUCAUUAUCAUCAUCGUGACCAGCAUCAUUAGCAUAACCGUGACUGGCAGCAUCAUGACCACCAACAUCACCAUCAUCACCACUGACAUCAUCGUCACCGUCAUCAUGACCACCACCGCCAACCACCACCACUAUCAUCACCAUCACUACUACCACCACUACCACAUCAAUAUCACAUUAGGAUCAAGAAAAAUGGAACCAGGGAACAUGUAUGUCAAGACCCCUGAAUAAAAGCACAGCAGCAUACAGAACCCAGGCUAAAGGGCAUAAUAAAAGGAGAACACGGUGGCUAGAAAGGACGUAAGCGGGUGAAUGCCCAAUUCGGAGGGAAGUCACUGACGUGACUUCGGGGACGUGGAACCAUGUUGAAGAUUGAACGUUGAGUGCCAUUAAAGUUCACCAAGCACCUGUUCGCAGCAGGUGAUGGGUAAGCAGAUAUAGCAAUGACUGACAAGGAAAGUCAGAGAUUAAGGGAGUGUUCAAAUAAGCAAUGACACUAAGGAGAAGCAUAAGGCAUGCUGCGAGCAGGUGACAACUGGAUUCAAGGAAGUUUGGAGGGUCCAUCAUGCUCUCCACUAAUGUCGCGCAAAACUCCACUAAGGCACCAAUACUUAAAUCGUAAUGACGGAUGAAGGGGAGCUAGACAGAAUAGAAAUGGGAAGGAAAAACAUUCCAGAUUAAUAGCAAUUUUUAAAUGUUCUCCCAGCGCCUCAAGUUGCUGUGUGCCCUCUCGGUACCUGUGAACAUUGCACAGAAGUAAGGGCUGCAGGCUGCCAGGACCACACGGUGAGCUUCUACUUCCACGUCUUCAGCCACGAUCAUCACGUCACACAGCAGCCGCUUACUGUAAGACCCCAGCUGGAGGCUCAGGAACGUCAUAGAAAACAGAUGGAAAGAAUCUAAGAGCUGGAGGCUGGGAAGCGCUCUGUGACAUUCUGUCGUCAGGAUGCAGGCACGGCCCUCACUCUUGUGAACUCUGCAGCUAUGAUUAGCCGCACAGGACUGAAUCAGAGAGGCUAAAGUCACAAUCCUCACCUAUUCUCCAGGCAUGGUGCACACACCAACCUGAACUGAACCCUAACCGCCACCCUGGCCUGGCUUACACAAACAUUGGGGCUUCAACCCAUGUCUGAGCAGCCUUCUCUGGGGCCCGACUCAGGACAAGCUGUGCACACUUUAAAGUAGUCUGCAACCUCACGGGUUUAGAGGAGCCCGUUCCCGUGAAACCAGCAACUCACAACUUAGAGGGGAAGCCUUCUUGCCUCUCCCUGUGAUCCUCUCUCCUCAAGGAAAAUGGUAAAGCCCGUCCCUCGGUGCCAACCCACGGAUGAGGAGGUGGUGGCACGAAGACUUCUGCUCCAUAGUCUGCCAAACUUGGCCCUGCACAGAACACCUUCACAAUAGGAAGACCAGCUCCUCGGAUAAAUGAAAACUGUCUGUGCUCCUGCCUGCCGGGAGACAAACCCUGGCCAGCCUGUUCCUGCUCAACCCGAG